AUGGUGAAUAAAAGUGGUGAACAUGCCUUGAGGACGGGGAUAGCCGUUAGAAAUAGCGGAUAAUACCGGAUACGCUCAUCACUGUUAGAGGGUGAUGAGGAAAGGGGCUACGGCCCCGCCUUAAGAGUGGCCCGCGGCCCAUUAUGNUCGUUGGUGCGGUAACGGCGCACCAAGGCUCUGAUGGGUAUCCGGCCUAAGAGGCUGAACGGACACAUUGGGACUGAGAUACGGCCCAGACUCCUACGGGAGGCAGCAGCUAAGAAUAUUCCGCAAUGGGCGAAAGCCUGACGGAGCGACGCCGCGUGGGUGAGGAAGGCCGAAAGGUUGUAAAGCCCUUUUGAACCUGAAGAAUAAGUACGGGAGGGAAUGCCCGUAUGGUGACGGUAGGGUUUGAAUAAGCUAC
rnacentral:rRNA from 1 species